rnacentral:rRNA from 1 species
AUGGGCGCCGACCGCCUCCUCCACCUCGUCCGCGCGCCGGCGGCCGCCCCCGCGGGCCCCCUCCGCGGCCACCCCCAGCCGCGCAGCCGUGUCCGCCUCCCCACGACGCCCGCCGCCGGGAUGCGCCGCGUCGCCGUCUCCUGCUCCGGCUCCGGCCCCGCCGACGAGGAAGGCAUGACCUACAAGGGCGCCGGCGUGGACAUAGACGCCGGCACCGAGCUCGUGCGCCGCAUCCGCAGGCUGGCCCCCGGGAUCGGCGGCUUCGGCGGCCUCUACCCCCACGGGGAUGAGUACCUUGUGGCUGGUACUGAUGGAGUUGGGACGAAGCUGAAGCUCGCGUUUGAGACCGGUAUUCAUGAUACCAUUGGGAUUGACCUGGUUGCUAUGAGUGUCAAUGACAUUGUAACUUCUGGUGCGAAGCCAUUGUUCUUCCUAGAUUACUAUGCUACGAGCAAGCUCGAUGUUGACCUUGCAGAGAAGGUCAUCAAGGGGAUUGUGGAUGGAUGCCAGCAAUCAGAUUGUAUUCUGCUGGGAGGAGAGACAGCAGAAAUGCCUGAUUUCUACAAGGAAGGUGAAUAUGAUCUGAGUGGUUUUGCUGUGGGUGCGGUAAAGAAGGAUAAGGUCAUUGACGGUAAAAACAUUGUGGAGGGGGAUGUCCUGAUUGGCCUUCCUUCCAGUGGGGUUCACUCGAACGGGUUCUCUCUCGCUAGGAGAGUACUGGACAAAAGUGGACUCUCCUUGACUGAUCCUCUCCCAAGAAAUGAUGGUGUAACAACUACUGUUGGUGAAGCUCUCAUGGCACCAACUGUCAUCUAUGUCAAGAAGGUACUUGACAUUAUCGGCAAGGGUGGUGUAAAAGGACUAGCCCAUAUUACUGGUGGUGGCUUUACUGAUAAUAUCCCAAGAGUAUUUCCUAAAGGACUUGGGGCGAAAAUUGUCACUGGGUCGUGGCAAGUGCUGCCUGUGUUCCAGUGGCUUCAACAGGUUGGCAAAAUCGAAGAUGCGGAGAUGCUGCGAACGUUCAACAUGGGCGUCGGGAUGGUCCUUGUAGUGAGCAAAGACGCAGCGGACAGAAUCCUCGAAGAGUCGAGCCCUGCUUACCGCAUCGGAGAGGUGAUCCAGGGCGAGGGGGUUCAGUACGUCUGA